AUUUGCCAAUCAUUUUGCAGCCAAAUGAUGAUUUUGAAACAAUUUUCUUUAAGUUGUGAUCAAUGUUAGUUUUCUUUAAGCUGAUAAUUAUUAUUCUGUAUGAAUGUUUUAUAAUUAGGGGUUCUGGAUCUCAUCCCAAAUCCCGCCCCCAUAUGCUCUCUCCCCCUCUCUCUUUGCCGAUUCAAGAAGAUGAAGGUGAUGGCGAUUUGCCGAUUCAAGAAGAUGAAGGCGAUGGCGAUUCAAGCCGAUUGGAUCAUGUGGUAUUGGCUACAUUGAUUUGUUCAUAUUAUUGUUUAUUUUUGUUCAUAUUACAUUCUUUUUUACCAAUCAGUUCAAAUUAGGGUUUUAAUUUGUUAAGUUUUGUUACAUCUAUUGAGAUUAUAAAAAAAAAGCAGUGUGGGCUGUGUCAAUUACAUGUGCGCUCAUGGGUUUAUGGUCCGGAUUCAAGUACGAAGAGAUGACUCUGUGUUAAGAGCAAAGAUGAAGAUUUUCAAGGUUUAUGCAAGCAUAUGGAGGGACUGACGGAUGAUGUUGAAAAAUCAAAUGAGAUGCUGCUAAUCUUAGAAGAGAAGCUUAACGACAGAGAAGCCGGGAUCAAAAGAUUAAGGCAUCAGCUGCAACAAUAUGAUGUGGUGGAGGAAAAAACUGACACACUUGCUACUGAUGAAAAAGAUACCAAUGCGGAUGUUACUGUGCCUAUGGAACCGGAACCUGAACCCAAAACCAAACUCGAAAAUGAGGAAUUAUAGGAAGCCUGAGUGUCGGUUUUUCAUGAAACCCAGAGAGGUGUUUGGCUUCAGCAUCUUACAUAUGGUGUUUUGGGUCUACGAUUACAGGCAAUAUGAGCAUUUUAACAAGUACGACUAUAUGCUUUUUGGCUUUUGCACUGGAUGGACUUCAAUUGGUUGCCGGAGCAGAGAAUGCGUUUGAGUCUGGGACACUAAAACUCAUAAUAUUAUGCGUGUUUUCAAGCAUGCAAAAGGAAACCGAGAGAGGUAUUUGCCUUCAGCAUCUUACAUAUGGUGUUUUGGGUCUAUGGUUACAGGCAAUAUGAGCAUUUUAACAAGGUACAUGCAAUAAUACAACAUAUGUGACAUAACUUUUUAUCUCUUUUCCCUUCAUUUUUUCAUUAUAUUAGU